rnacentral:rRNA from 1 species
AAGCUUUGGAUCUUAACGAAAGUUAAGAUGGUAGGGGAGCGUUCUGUAAGCCAGAGAAGUUAAACUGGAAAGUUUGAUGGAGGUAUCAGAAGUGAGAAUGCAGGUAUGAGUAACGAAAAAAUGGGUGAGAUUCCCAUUCGCCGAAAACCUAAGGUUUCCUGGGUAAAGGUCGUCUUCCCAGGGUUAGUCGGCCCCUAAGGCAAAGCUGAAAAGUGUAGUCGAUGGGAAACGGGUUAAUAUUCCCGUACCUCUUAUAGUUUCGAUGGAGUGACGCAUGAGGUUAACUACUGCUAGGCGAUGGUUGUCCUAGUUUAAGCAUUAAGGCGAUGAUCUUAAUAGGAAAAUCCGUUAAGAGAGCUAAGAUGUGAUGAUGAGUGCUAUUUAGGUAGCAUGAAAUGUAGGUAGUCAAGGUGCCAAGAAAUAGCUUCUAAGGUUAGGCUAUAAGGGACCGUACCGCAAACCGACACAGGUAGGUGGGAUGAAAAUUCUAAGGCGCGCGAGAGAAUCCACGUUAAGGAACUCUGCAAAAUACGUACGUAACUUCGGGAUAAGUACGACCUAAGCAAUUAGGUAGCAUAAAAAUGGUCCAAACGACUGUUUACCAAAAACACAGGUCUCUGCAAAUCUGUAAAGAGAAGUAUAGGGACUGACACCUGCCCGGUGCUGGAAGGUUAAGAGGAGAUGUUAGUUUAUGCGAAGCAUUGAAUUUAAGCCCCAGUAAACGGCGGCCGUAACUAUAACGGUCCUAAGGUAGCGAAAUUCCUUGUCGGGUAAGUUCCGACCCGCACGAAUGGUGUAACGAUUUGGACGCUGUCUCAACGUGGAGCUCGGUGAAAUUGAAGUAUCGGUGAAGAUGCCGAUUACUUGUGGUUAGACGGAAAGACCCCGUGAACCUUUACUAUAGCUUGGUAUUGAGAUUUGAUUAAAUAUGUGUAGGAUAGGUGGGAGACUUUGAAGCUAUCUCGUCAGGGGUAGUGGAGUCAAUCUUGAAAUACCACCCUUGUUUAAUUAGGUUUCUAACUUAUAGAAAUAUGAGGAGAGUGCCAGGUGGGUAGUUUGACUGGGGCGGUCGCCUCCUAAAGAGUAACGGAGGUGCGCAAAGGUUACCUUAGAGUGGUUGGAAAUCACUCUGUAAGUGUAAAGGCAUAAGGUAGCUUAACUGUAAGACUGACAAGUCGAACAGAUACGAAAGUAGGUCUUAGUGAUCUGCGGUGGCAAGUGGAAGCGCCGUCACUUAACGAAUAAAAGGUACUCCGGGGAUAACAGGCUUAUCCUUCCCAAGAGUUCACAUCGACGGAAGGGUUUGGCACCUCGAUGUCGGCUCAUCGCAUCCUAGGGCUGGAGCAGGUCCUAAGGGUAUGGCUGUUCGCCAUUUAAAGCGGUACGCGAGCUGGGUUCAGAACGUCGUGAGACAGUUUGGUCCCUAUCUGCCACAAGCGUUGGAUAUUUGAGAGGAGCUAUCUUUAGUACGAGAGGACCGAGAUGGACGAACCUCUAGUGUACCAGUUAUCCUGCCAAGGGUAAGUGCUGGGUAGCUACGUUCGGAAAGGAUAACCGCUGAAAGCAUCUAAGUGGGAAGCCUUCCUCAAGAUGAGAUAUCCUUUAAGGGUCCUGGAAGAAUACCAGGUCGAUAGGUUAGAAGUGUAAGUAUAGCAAUAUAUUAAGCUGACUAAUACUAAUUACCCGUAUCUUUGGCCAU